UACGUAGGGUGCAAGCUUUAAUCGGAAUUCCUGGGCGUAAAGCGUGCGCAGGCGGCUUUGCAAGACAGAUGUGAAAUCCCCGGGCUUAACCUGGGAACUGCAUUUGUGACUGCAUGGCUGAAGUGCGGCAGAGGGGGAUGGAAUUCCGCGUGUAGCAGUGAAAUGCGUAGAUAUGCGGAGGAACACCGAUGGCGAAGGCAAUCCCCUGGGCCUGCACUGACGCUCAUGCACGAAAGCGUGGGGAGCAAACAGG
rnacentral:rRNA from 1 species